CUUGGCCUCCCAGAGUGCUAGGAUUACAGGGGCCGUCAUUCUGUGUCCCACAAGGCAUCACCUGAUGUUGAGGAAGAUAUGACCAGCUCAGGAUUUACCAACACUAUGGUAAUGGGAAUUCAACGUGCAUGAGGUCAUAUUAUGUUUAUGAGUGCACAAGAAGGUAUUUCACCCCUCUGUAAGCAUCUAAGUUCAAGGUAGGUAGUGUUCCCUCUUAUCCUCUGUCGAGAAACAGUGUGAAUAUUUUUGUGUUUGUGCAUGAGCAAAACUUCCUGGCAAAGUACGAGUGAAUGGCAAACAAGCCUUGGAAAUUAAAGAUAGUUUAUAACCCCAGAGAGAUUUGGAGAUUUAUCUCUCCUGGAGCUAUUAUUUGUUUACUUUCAGAGGGUUGUAAACACCUAGGAACUUUCCCCUUCUCUUCCCACAGAGGAUUUGUUUACAUUAGAGACCAAAGGUCUCUGUCCCUCUUUGCAGAGGGGCAGGUGGCAGCUGUGAAACACUUCCUGUGUAAACUCUGAGGUUCAGAAUUUCUGGGGUCCCCUCUUGGAGGACAGACUCCCUCUGUACAUGCAAGGUGAACAUCUGCCCUCGUCACAUCACCACAAGGGGGUACAUGGAGCAUGGGGAACCAGUAAUGUUAUUGCCGUAAGUAAAUAAUUGGUCUGAUCUCUGAUCCAGAAACCAUGUGUUUGCUAUCAAGAUAAAAUAAGCACAGAUAGAUACUAAAACUUAUCAUGCCCUGAGUGGGCAGGGAGUGAGGGACUGCUUUAUGCUUUGGUCAUCCUUACAGGAAAGCUCUAGCACUUUGAGGUUCCAGCUUUGUACAGGGUCUCCUCUAUUAAACUCCCCACUUUAGGCUUUUUCUCCUUUUCCCCCCUCACCCUUCCACGUUGUGAACAGGAAGCUCAAGAUGACCAUAGUUUGGUGUGUGCCCUCAGGGUAAAAACCACAUUAAGCAGUGUUCAAGUUUUGAGUUCUUGCUAUCACUUUGGUUUUUGUUAAUUAGUCUGGGUAUUUUUUACUAGCAACUUUAUUGCUGUAUAAUUGAAGUACUAUAAGCUGUACAUAUUUGAUCAAUUUUGGCAAUAUACACUCAUGAAGCCAUCCCUAUAAUGAAGAUAGUGAAUACUCCCAUGGCUCCAGAAGCUUCCCCCAUCCCACUGUAACAUAUUUCUCCAUCUACCUCCAUCCUCAGGUGACACUGACCUACUUCCUACCACUGUGGAUUUGUUUGCAGUUUCCAGAAUUUUA